rnacentral:rRNA from 1 species
AGCGAACGCUGGCGGCGUGCUUAACACAUGCAAGUCGAGUGCGUAGCCCUUUGUAGCAAUACAGAGGGUGGGCGCACGGCGCACGGGUGAGUAACACGUGGGUAACCUGCCCUUCGGUGGGAUAACCCGCGAAGCGGGGCGUAUUCCGCAUAACAUUCCGGGGACGACAUGUUCUCGGACUCAAAGGAAGUGAUUCGCCGGAGGAGGGGCCCGG